rnacentral:rRNA from 1 species
UGUGACCUCAAAUCAGGUAGGACUACCCGCUGAACUUAAGCAUAUCAAUAAGCGGAGGAAAAGAAACUAACAAGGAUUCCCCUAGUAACUGCGAGUGAAGCGGGAAAAGCUCAAAUUUAAAAUCUGGCAGUCCUUUAACUGCCCGAGUUGUAAUCUAGAGAAGUGUUAUCUGCGCUGGAC